rnacentral:misc_RNA from 1 species
GAAAUGCGAUAAGUAAUGUGAAUUGCAGAAUUCAGUGAAUCAUCGAAUCUUUGAACGCACAUUGCGCCCGCCAGUAUUCUGGCGGGCAUGCCUGUUCGAGCGUCAUUACAACCCUCAGGCCCCCGGGCCUGGCGUUGGGGAUCGGCGGAAGCCCCCUGCUGGCACAACGCCGUCCCCCAAAUACAGUGGCGGUCCCGCCGCAGCUUCCAUUGCGUAGUAGCUAACACCUCGCAACUGGAGAGCGGCGCGGCCACGCCGUAAAACACCCAACUUCUGAAUGUUGACCUCGAAUCAGGUAGGAAUACCCGCUGAACUUAAGC